UAAGGAAUAUUGGUCAAUGGACGAAAGUCUGAACCAGCCAUGCCGCGUGAAGGAUUAAGGUCCUCUGGAUUGUAAACUUCUUUUAUCUGGGACGAAAAAAGGCGAUUCUUCGUCACUUGACGGUACCAGAUGAAUAAGCACCGGCUAACUCCGUGCCAGCAGCCGCGGUAAUACGGAGGGUGCAAGCGUUAUCCGGAUUCACUGGGUUUAAAGGGUGCGUAGGCGGGCAGGUAAGUCAGUGGUGAAAUCCUUGAGCUUAACUCGAGAACUGCCAUUGAUACUAUCUGUCUUGAAUAUUGUGGAGGUAAGCGGAAUAUGUCAUGUAGCGGUGAAAUGCUUAGAUAUGACAUAGAACACCUAUUGCGAAGGCAGCUUACUACGCAUAUAUUGACGCUGAGGCACGAAAGCGUGGGGAUCAAACAGGAUUAGAUACCCCGGUAGUCC
rnacentral:rRNA from 1 species